rnacentral:rRNA from 1 species
AACGAACGCUGGCGGCAGGCCUAACACAUGCAAGUCGAGCGAAGCCUUCGGGCUUAGCGGCGGACGGGUGAGUAACGCGUGGGAACGUGCCCUUUGGUACGGAAUAGCCCCGGGAAACUUGGAGUAAUACCGGAUGUGGUCGAGAGACGAAAGAUUUAUCGCCAAAGGAUCGGCCCGCGUUGGAUUAGGUAGUUGGUGGGGUAAUGGCCUACCAAGCCGACGAUCCAUAGCUGGUUUGAGAGGAUGAUCAGCCACACUGGGACUGGGACACGGCCCAGACUCCUACGGGAGGCAGCAGUGGGGAAUCUUAGACAAUGGGGGAAACCCUGAUCUAGCCAUGCCGCGUGAUCGAUGAAGGCCUUAGGGUUGUAAAGAUCUUUCAGUGGGGAAGAUAAUGACUGUACCCACAGAAGAAGCCCCGGCUAACUCCGUGCCAGCCGCCGCCGUAACAC